AAACCAAGAAAUUUAGUCAUUCUUUUAUGGUAAAAAGACAGUUAGGCAGGGUAUAGUUAAAAUCGUUGGACCUUUAGUAGAGGAGUAAAAUCUAAAUACUAAAAGUUAUACCGGGGAUGAUUUAUUUGAGAUGCUGAGUCUGUGACAGCUUUAAGGGAAACUGGGAUUGGAUACCCCAUUAUUUUUAGUUAUAAAUUAGUUUAAGCUUACCAGAGUACUACGAAUAAAAAAGUUUAAAACUCAAAGAGCUUGGCGGUGUUUUAGACCUCUCAGGGGAACCUGUCUCAUAAUCGACAAUCCACGUUAAACCUAACCUUUUAUAGUAGUUCAGCUUGUAUACCGUCGUCGUCAGGUAACUUCUUAAAAUAUAGUAGUUAGCUCGAGAAUUGGAUUAAUUAGAACGUCAGAUCAAGGUGCAGCUAAUGAGAAGGUGAGGAUGGGUUACAAUUACAUAUUUGUAAAUACGGAAAACACUUGAAAUGAAGUGUCUUAAAGGAGGACUUGAAAGUAAUUUUGAUUAUAUAAAUGGAAUGAAUGCGGCUCUGAAACGUG
rnacentral:rRNA from 1 species